UACAGAGGUCCCAAGCGUUGUUCGGAUUCAUUGGGCGUAAAGGGUGCGUAGGUGGCGCUGUAAGUCGGGUGUGAAAUUUCGGAGCUUAACUCCGAAACUGCAUUCGAUACUGCGGUGCUUGAGGACUGGAGAGGAGACUGGAAUUUACGGUGUAGCGGUGAAAUGCGUAGAUAUCAGGAAGAACACCAAUGGCGAAGGCAGCUCUCUGGGACGGUACUGACGCUGAGACGCGAAAGCGUGGGGAGCGAACAGG
rnacentral:rRNA from 1 species